CCGAUCCCUUCUUCAAGCAUGGCCGCCGCCCGUCUUCUUUAGGCACGAGCUCCAUCGGGUCCGCCUCCCUGCUGUUGGAGCCCCACAACCCCAGCGCUUCGGACGAACUAGGGACGAACGCCUCGCUGGAGCUCCGCAGGGGCUCAUCGCGCGCCGACCGUCCCGAGCUCCAAUCCG